AAGAUUAAACUGAAGAGUUUGAUCAUGGCUCAGAUUGAACGCUGGCGGCAGGCUUAACACAUGCAAGUCGAACGAAGUUAGGAAGCUUGCUUCUGAUACUUAGUGGCGGACGGG
rnacentral:rRNA from 1 species